CUCUUCAAAUACGAAAAUUGGCACAGCUUGACUUUCUUCCACUGCCCUCCCAGUCACAGCUCAGACACCCACAAACUCCCACCGCAGGCUGGAGUCCUCUGGAGCCCUAACUGUGAUACCCAAAGAAAGGGUUAUGCUACGUUGCUUAGACUGACCUCAACCUCCUGGGCUCAAUCUUCCUGCCUCAACUUCCCAAGUAGCUAGAAUUACAGGGACAGAACAGAUGCUGUUUCCCAGGGGACCAAUCCCAGAAAUAUGUGGAGCUGGAGCUUCUGUCAGCCUUUUUGCUACCACGAGAGGAACCAAAUUGUGAAGACAUCUGUUCUGUUAUUAAUUUCACAUACAUCUUAAGCUCCUCAAGGCCAGAAAUGAGGCUUCAUUCACGUCGAAUUAAUGAAACAUGAUUCAGCUACAUUUUCACCCCAUCCCGGGCUCCACGUUCCUGCCGCACACACAUCAAGAAUGCUGCUAAUUUCAGCGUCUGGCUUCCAGACCCAGACGUCAAAACAACUACCUUUCAUCUCAGGAAAGCCAACUACUAUGUUGUGAGCAGCCCAAUGGAGAGGCCCACAAGACAACGAACUGAAGCCUCCAGCAACAACCCUGUGAGGCUGGAACUGCCCAUAAAGGCCGGCACCCCAGCAGCCACCUUGAGAAAUGCAGCGAUGAUGCUGAGUGGCAAGGCAGAAGGCACAGGGUCCCUGUACCUGAGGAUUGCUGCUCCAAACCUGGGCCACCAGCCUGAGGAUCCCGCCAGGCAGAAGUAAAGCUCUGUUUUGCUGAA